GAAGCCAUCCCCCAUUUUCAUAUCUUCACCAAAUUUUCAUUUCAUCAUCAAAUCCUUCCUUUUCAAGCUCUUUGGAACCUAGACUUGCUAAGGGAAUCACUUCACUUAAGGAAACGCGAAACGGUAGAUAGUGUGAAACAUUGUGGUUUUGGUUGGAAGCAUUGCCGAGACGAUGGAGCGCCAUCUGAGACCGUAGGCC